UAGGGAAUCUUCGGCAAUGGACGAAAGUCUGACCGAGCAACGCCGCGUGAGUGAAGAAGGUUUUCGGAUCGUAAAACUCUGUUGUUAGAGAAGAACAAGGACGUUAGUAACUGAACGUCCCCUGACGGUAUCUAACCAGAAAGCCACGGCUAACUACGUGCCAGCAGCCGCGGUAAUACGUAGGUGGCAAGCGUUGUCCGGAUUUAUUGGGCGUAAAGCGAGCGCAGGCGGUUUCUUAAGUCUGAUGUGAAAGCCCCCGGCUCAACCGGGGAGGGUCAUUGGAAACUGGGAGACUUGAGUGCAGAAGAGGAGAGUGGAAUUCCAUGUGUAGCGGUGAAAUGCGUAGAUAUAUGGAGGAACACCAGUGGCGAAGGCGGCUCUCUGGUCUGUAACUGACGCUGAAGCUCGAAAGCGUGGGGAGCAAACAGG
rnacentral:rRNA from 1 species